rnacentral:lncRNA from 1 species
UAUCCGUUGGGGUAAAUCAUGCUGUGUUUAUUGUACGGAGAGAGAAACUCUUCAGAAAUAACACCAAUACAAGAUAUCAGGUGUUUAAAUAUGGACAUAUUGGUCCCAUAGCAUUCACCAGCAACAUGAACAUGUUCAGGACAAUCAGGAAGGUAGAGGACAUGAGCAUGUUCAGGACAAUCAGGAAAAUAAAGGACAUGAGCAUGUUCAGGACAAUCAGGAAGAUAAAGGACAUGAGCAUGUUCAGGACAAUCAGGAAGGUAGAGGACAUGAACAUGUUCAGGACAAUCAGGAAGGUAGAGGACAUGUUCAGGACAAUCAGGAAGGUAGAGGACAUGAGCAUGUUCAGGACAAUCAGGAAGAUAGGACAUGUUCAGGACAAUCAGGAAGGUAGAGGACAUGAGCAUGUUCAGGACAAUCAGGAAGGUAGAGGACAUGUUCAGGACAAUCAGGAAGGUAGAGGACAUGUUCAGGACAAUCAGGAAGGUAGAGGAGAUGUUCAGGACAAUCAGGAAGGUAGAGGAGAUGUUCAGGACAAUCAGGAAGGGAGAGGACAUGUUCAGGACAAUCAGGAAGGUAGAGGACAUGAACAUGUUCAGGACAAUCAGGAAGGUUGAGGACAUGUUCAGGACAAUCAGGAAGGGAGAGGACAUGUUCAGGACAAUCAGGAAGGUAGAGGACAUGAACAUGUUCAGGACAAUCAGGAAGGGAGAGGACAUGUUCAGGACAAUCAGGAAGGUAGAGGAGAUGUUCAGGACAAUCAGGAAGGUAGAGGACAUGAACAUGUUCAGGACAAUCAGGAAGGUAGAGGACAUGAACAUGUUCAGGCCAAUCAGGAAGAUAGAGGACAUGAACAUGUUCAGGACAAUCAGGAAGGUUGAGGACAUGUUCAGGACAAUCAGGAAGGUAGAGGACAUGAACAUGUUCAGGACAAUCAGGAAGGGAGAGGACAUGUUCAGGACAAUCAGGAAGGGAGAGGACAUGUUCAGGACAAUCAGGAAGGUAGAGGCUAGAAACAUUUCAAUCAAACAGCCCAGAAACACAAUAUUACACAUUCAGUGUGAAAGUUAGACAUUGUAUAACAUGUAGAACAUUAAAUAAUAAAUAUAGUGUCAAAGCUUUUUACCCUCUAAACUGGACUUGAUGGGAAUGAAGACAGGAGAUAUGAGGGGGGUGAUACUGAUGGGAGAUAUGGGGGGGGUGAUACUGAUGGGAGAUAUGGGGGGGGGUGAUACUGAUGGGAGAUAUGAGGGGGGGG